AGAGUUUGAUCCUGCUCAGGGAUGACCGCUAGCUACAGGCUUAACACAUGCAAGUCGAGCGGUAUGUGCUUUAGUGCAUACAGCGGCAGACGGGUGAGUAACACGUAUCUACCNUUUCCCCUUUACUUGGGCAUAGCCUCUGGAAACGGAGAUUAAUUUCCGAUGUGGUGUACAUUUCGCAUGUUUUGCGCACCAAAGAUUUAUCGGUAAGGGAUGGGGAUGCGCUCCAUUAGGUUGUAGGUAGGGUAAUGGCCUACCUAGCCUAUGAUGGAUAGGGGUUCUGAGAGGAAGGUCCCCCACAUUGGAACUGCGACACGGUCCAAACUCCUACGGGAGGCAGCAGUGAGGAAUAUUGGUCAAUGGCCGGAAGGCUGAACCAGCCAAGUAGCGUGCAGGAUGACUGCCUUAUGGGUUGUAAACUGCUUUUUUACGGGAAUAAUUACGAUCACGUGUGAUUAUUUGCAUGUACCGUAAGAAUAAGGAUCGGCUAACUCCGUGCCAGCAGCCGCGGUAAUACGGAGGAUCCUAGUGUUAUCCGGAUUUAUUGGGUUUAAAGGGAGCGUAGGCGGGAGGUCAAGUCAGCUGUGAAAUGUAUCUGCUUAACGGGUACACUGCAGUUGAAACUGGUUUUCUUGAAUGCGUAAGAGGCAGGCGGAAUUCGUUGUGUAGCGGUGAAAUGCUUAGAUAUGACGAGGAACUCCUAUUGCGAAGGCAGCUUGCUGGGUCGUUACUGACGCUGAUGCUCGAAGGUGCGGGGAUCAAACAGGAUUAGAUACCCUGGUAGUCCACACUGUAAACGAUGAUAUACUCUCUGUCGGCGAUACACUGUCGGUGGCCCAAGCGAAA
rnacentral:rRNA from 1 species